UCCAACUCUUGCCUCACAGGUUAGUUACUGACAGACAGUCAGUGAGUGUGUCUGUGUCCAACUCUUCCUCACAGGUUAGUUAAUGACAGACAGUCAGUGAGUGUGUCUGUGUCCAACUCUUCCUCACAGGUUAGUUAAUGACAGACAGUCAGUGAGUGUGUCUGUGUCCAACUCUUCCUCACAGGUUAGUUAAUGACAGACAGUCAGUGAGUGUGUCUGUGUCCAACUCUUCCUCACAGGUUAGUUAAUGACAGACAGUCAGUGAGUGUGUCUGUGUCCAACUCUUCCUCACAGGUUAGUUAAUGAUGUUACUGAGUCAAUGUGAGCAGAUUGUGUCUGUAGACUGAAGAGAAUCAGAGUCUCACUGAUGGUGGAAAUAAAGGUUGUACUUCCUUAAAACAGCCGUUUUUUGAAUGGAGUUUGGUGUGACAGUGUGGAGCAGAGGGGAUUUGAACCUUAAUAAUUCCCAUAAACUGAGCUGACCGACCUUCUAAUAAUGAACCUUGGAAAC